UACGAAGGGGGCUAGCGUUGCUCGGAAUCACUGGGCGUAAAGCGCACGUAGGCGGCUUCUUAAGUCAGGGGUGAAAUCCUGGAGCUCAACUCCAGAACUGCCCUUGAUACUGAGGAGCUCGAGUCCGGAAGAGGUGAGUGGAACUCCGAGUGUAGAGGUGAAGUUCGUAGAUAUUCGGAAGAACACCAGUGGCGAAGGCGGCUCACUGGUCCGGUACUGACGCUGAGGUGCGAAAGCGUGGGGAGCAAACAGG
rnacentral:rRNA from 1 species